UACCCUUGACAUGUACGGAAGCCCGAUGAGAGUUGGGUGUGCCCGAAAGGGAGCCGUAACACAGGUGCUGCAUGGCUGUCGUCAGCUCGUGUCGUGAGAUGUUGGGUUAAGUCCCGCAACGAGCGCAACCCUUGCCAUUAGUUGCCACAUUCAGUUGGGCACUCUAAUGGGACUGCCGGUGACAAACCGGAGGAAGGUGGGGAUGACGUCAAGUCCUCAUGGCCCUUAUGGGUAGGGCCUCA
rnacentral:rRNA from 1 species